UUCUGCUCCAAGUAAGUUUGAAAUCUCGCUUUCACCUGAAAUAUUGUCAACUACAUGCUUACUUUGUAACUUUAGACAGCCGACUUCCAUUCUUUGUCAUGAAGCUGAGUUGGUCAGGCUUCUCUUUUUGAUGGCGGGCUAAGGAAAAGAAGCAUCUAGUCCAAGGAAGGGUUUUGGAAGAUUCAUCCAAGAAGCUCACCACCUGCUCUGUCUUGGCAGGUCUGAGGGACAUUAUGGCGACCACAGGAGUGUCUCCUCAUUGGCAGGUCUGAGGGACGUCAUGGCGACCACAGGAGUGUCUCCUCAGGUCCUGCACACACACACAAAUACACCACUUACAUUAAGAUGAAGACACAAAUACACCGAAACUUAAAAUACGCAGACACUACAAUGGAAAUAUUACUACAUGAAAUUAUAAG